UACGUAGGGGGGCGAGCGUUGUCCGGAGUUACUGGGCGUAAAGGGCAUGCAGGCGGUCCGACACGUUUUGUGUGACAGCGGGUGGCUUAACUACCCGAGGAUGCGAAAGACGGUUGGACUUGAGGACUCGAGAGGGACACGGAAUUCCGGGUGGAGUGGUGAAAUGCGUAGAGAUCCGGAGGAACACCGAAGGCGAAGGCAGUGUCCUGGCGAGUGACUGACGCUGAGGUGCGAAAGCCAGGGGGAGACGGAACGGG
rnacentral:rRNA from 1 species